GACGAACGCUGGCGGUGUGCUUAACACAUGCAAGUCGAACGGUAAGGCCCUUUCGGGGGUACACGAGUGGCGAACGGGUGAGUAACACGUGAGUAACCUGCCCUCAUCUCCGGGAUAACAGUCGGAAACGGUUGCUAAUACUGGAUAUGAGCCUGCAAGGCAUCUUGUGGGUUGGAAAGAUUUUUUGGUUGGGGAUGGACUCGCGGCCUAUCAGCUUGUUGGUGAGGUAGUGGCUCACCAAGGCUUCGACGGGUAGCCGGCCUGAGAGGGCGACCGGCCACAUUGGGACUGAGAUACGGCCCAAACUCCUACGGGAGGCAGCAGUGGGGAAUAUUGCACAAUGGACGGAAGUCUGAUGCAGCAACGCCGCGUGCGGGAUGACGGCCUUCGGGUUGUAAACCGCUUUCAAUUGUGACGAAGCUUUUUGUGACGGUAGCAGUAGAAGAAGCACCGGCUAACUACGUG
rnacentral:rRNA from 1 species